CUGGGGUUCUCACGCGCAGCCGUCCUUAGGGGUUUUGGCCUUCAAUGCUGGUGGCAGUCGUGUGGAGCUGGCGGGCUGUGUGAUUCAAAGGGUGCUCCCGGCGCGCUGCUGGUUCCUGCAUGGGUUGGUCAUUCGCUGAGUCUUGCUCCUUGCCUCUUGUGGGGGUCUCCAUGGUUUCCGCCAUUGUUGCAUGUCUGUCUUUCUGUAGAGGUUUUGCUAUUCUGGCCUCUUGCUGGUUCACUUGCGCAUCAUUUUCGUGUGCGCGGGACGCCGGCGCCGUGUUCGUUCUUCCUCUGGCUGUGUCUCGUUUGUGUUCGCUCGGUCUCUGCUUGAGUGUCCUUGUUGUGACGCCUAUGUGGGCUUCUUCUUUGCCUGUUGUAUUGUUUGUUGUGGGUGUCUGGUGGACACCCGACUUCUGAUCAAGUAAUCCAAAAAUCUGCUUUUUAACGGUUAACUAAUAAUGUUUGUUUUGUGGGCCAUGCA
rnacentral:lncRNA from 1 species